GACGAACGCUGGCGGCGUGCCUAAUACAUGCAAGUCGAACGCUUCUUUCCUCCCGAGUGCUUGCACUCAAUUGGAAAGAGGAGUGGCGGACGGGUGAGUAACACGUGGGUAACCUACCCAUCAGAGGGGGAUAACACUUGGAAACAGGUGCUAAUACCGCAUAACAGUUUAUGCCGCAUGGCAUAAGAGUGAAAGGCGCUUUCGGGUGUCGCUGAUGGAUGGACCCGCGGUGCAUUAGCUAGUUGGUGAGGUAACGGCUCACCAAGGCCACGAUGCAUAGCCGACCUGAGAGGGUGAUCGGCAACACUGGGACUGAGACACGGCCCAGACUCCUACGGGAGGCAGCAGUAGGGAAUCUUCGGCAAUGGACGAAAGUCUGACCGAGCAACGCCGCGUGAGUGAAGAAGGUUUUCGGAUCGUAAAACUCUGUUGUUAGAGAAGAACAAGGACGUUAGUAACUGAACGUCCCCUGACGGUAUCUAACCAGAAAGCCACGGCUAACUACGUG
rnacentral:rRNA from 1 species